GCCUCUGAUCAAUAGAACAAUGUAGAUAAGGGGAAGUCGGCAAAAAUAGUUUCGUAACUUCGGGAAAAGAAAUGGCUCUGAGGAUUGAGCACAGGAAUCCUUUUUAGUUUUCCAUUCUGGUUGUAUGAGAAAGCAGUUUUUUGUAAUGAGAGAUUGUGUUUUUGUGCUUCUGGGUGGAUAACCUUGUGAGGGUUAUCAAUCUACAAUUUAUUGUAGAUUUUCUUGUGCAAUUAACAAUUGACUUAGAACUGGUACGAACAAGGAGAAUCCGACUGUUUAAUUAAAACAAAGCCUUGUGAUGGUCUGAAAUAGAUUCUGACACAAGGUGAUUUCUGCCCAGUGCUCUGUCUGUUACAGGUUGGAAACUUUUUCAAGCACGGGUAAACGGCGGGAGUAACUAUGACUCUCUUAAGGUAGCCAAAUGCCUCGUCAUCUAAUUAGUGACGCGCAUGAAUGGAUUAACGAGAUUCUCACUGUCCCUAUUUACUAUCUAGCGAAACCACUGCCAAGGAACGGG
rnacentral:rRNA from 1 species